ACAGAACAUACAUGAAUGCAUCCAACUUAUUUUGGCCAAUGUGGUUGAAAGAAACCCAUAUUUCUGAUAUAAAAAACUUUGAAAACGGUUAGGGUUAGGAGGUC